AACGAACGCUGGCGGCAGGCUUAACACAUGCAAGUCGAACGCCCCGCAAGGGGAGUGGCAGACGGGUGAGUAACGCGUGGGAAUCUACCCAUCUCUGCGGAAUAGCCCCGGGAAACUGGAAUUAAUACCGCAUACGCCCUACGGGGGAAAGAUUUAACGGGGAUGGAUGAGCCAGCGUUGGAUUAGCUAGUUGGUGGGGUAAAGGCCUACCAAGGCGACGAUCCAUAGCUGGUCUGAGAGGAUGAUCAGCCACAUUGGGACUGAGACACGGCCCAAACUCCUACGGGAGGCAGCAGUGGGGAAUAUUGGACAAUGGGCGCAAGCCUGAUCCAGCCAUGCCGCGUGAGUGAUGAAGGCCUAGGGUUGUAAAGCUCUUUCACGGGUGAAGAUAAUGACGGUAACCGGAGAAGAAGCCCCGGCUAACUUCGUGCCAGCCGCCGCCGUAA
rnacentral:rRNA from 1 species